CGAUUGUAAAGUUAGUGGCGGACGGGUGAGUAACGCGUGAAUAACCUGCCCUGUACCGGGGGACAACAGUUGGAAACGGCUGCUAAUACCGCAUAAGCGCACAGUACCGCAUGGUACCGUGUGAAAAACUCCGGUGGUAUGAGAUGGACCCGCGUCUGAUUAGCUAGUUGGUGGGGUAACGGCCCACCAAGCCGACGAUCAGUAGCCGACCUGAGAGGGUGACCGGCCACAUUGGGACUGAGACACGGCCCAAACUCCUACGGGAGGCAGCAUG
rnacentral:rRNA from 1 species